AGUGGACAUUGGGAUCCUGAAGAUGGCUCAGGUGGGUACCAGGAGUUCUGCCUGAGUCGGGUCCUCCCCUCACAUGGCCAUGACACUUCUGGCCAUCCCAGUCUGCCCCAGUAUACCCCAGUGCACCUUCCCCAAGGAUCCCAUUUCUUCCCCCAGGCUCCCAAUACAUCCCACUGCACCCAGUGUGUCUCUGAGUCUGUCUUUGUCCCCAGCCCCCUGUGGUUGAGAAGGUGCUGGGUCUUGUUGAUGAGAAACGCGUGGCUGCAUCCCUGGAUGGCUGAGGACUGGUGGUGACACCCGUGCCCUGUCCCCCUCCAGCACCAUGAGGAGAUGAUCAUCCCUGGAAGAACCCCCUGAUUUCCCUCAGAGCCCAGGGCCAUUUCCCCUGAAUGAUCAAUAAAUCCCUUCAGCAAAGCUA